UACAGGGGGGGCAAGCGUUGUUCGGAAUUACUGGGCGUAAAGGGUCUGUAGGUGGCCAACUAAGUCAGACGUGAAAUCCCUCAGCUUAACUGGGGAACUGCGUCUGAUACUGGAUGGCUUGAGUGUGGGAGAGGAAUGCGGAAUUCCAGGUGUAGCGGUGAAAUGCGUAGAUAUGACAUAGAACACCAAUUGCGAAGGCAGCUGACUACGCGAAUAUUGACACUGAUGCACGAAAGCGUGGGGAUCAAACAGG
rnacentral:rRNA from 1 species